AAAAUAGAAUACGAAAGUGACUGUCAGCGCCAUCUCUUGAGUGUCAAAGAUAUCUACGAAAUGAUAAAAAUGCUGUUUAAUUAACAUCCUAUUGACUGUGAUCAUAAAAUGUAGACAAAGAGAGCAAAUAGUGAAAAAAACACAGAAAUAGAGUAAAAAUGAGGUACUCAGCGCCAUCUCUAAAUUGAUGCGAAACUAAAAAAAAGGAAAGCAAAUAAUACAAGAAAGAUAAAAAAUAGAAUACGAAAGUGACUGUCAGCGCCAUCUCUUUAGUGUCAAAGAUAUCAACAUUAAGAUAACACAGAGAUAGAGUAAAAAUAAGAUACCCAGCGCCAUCUCUGAAGUGAUGCGAAACUAAGAAAAAGGAAAGCAAAUAGUACGAGAAAGAUAAAAAAUAGAAUACGAAUGUGACUGUCAGCGCCAUCUCUUGAGUGUCAAAGAUAUCUACGUAAGGAUUUAUAUGCAAGAUAAAGUAAAAUUAUA